AUUAAAUUUUUUUCUUGUAAUCAGCACAAUUAAAGGUUUAUUAAUUCUUGCUAUAUUCCCAAAACUUUAUGGUCCAAUAAUAUUUAAUUCAAAAAUAUUUAACAAGUUACAUCGACAGAAUUAUCCACUUAACAAAAUGAAUAAGUUGUUUAAAGAGUCUCCUGGGCACUCUUGGUGAUUCCGCCAUAGAUAUUUGGUCUUGGCCACUUUGCCAGUCCAAAAGAGUGUGAUUAGUACCUUGUGGUUGCUAAGCGACAACACUAUAUAUAUGGGAUAUAUAUCCACGGGACCCAGCAAUCGGGUAAUCUUAGACACUGACCAUGAUGUUAUGCGUUUUCAUUAUUGUAAUACAUUUAUUUCUCACAGCUAUAUUUUAUUGAAACAUAGUAAAGGAUGUAUUAUACACCUGACAACUUUCCACUGAUAAAAUAAAGGGCACAGUCUACGAUCACAUAUGCAAGGUAUUUACAGGUAUGUUUACCCAGAAAUCCUACUGAGCUCAUUGGCACUUACUCUCAACUAUGUUGUUGUUGUUGUUUAGUUGUGUCUGACUCUUCGUGACCCCAUGGACCAGAGCAACUAUUUUAGUUCAUCUUAAUUUGUUUGUUUGACAAACAUGCUCUAUCCCAUGAGUUCAGAGUGGCUUGCCACCAUUUUUCUAAAUAGUCCUGUAUCACAAUUUAAGGCAAUUCAAUUGUUUAGGAGAUAAAAGAGGCCAAAUGAAACGAAAAGGAAAUUAUAAAUUUAUGCUAUUUUUUCAUGGAUCGGAGGAAUAAAACACCCAUACCAAACCGUAAAUAAGCAGGCUAAAAAAGCUGUCCAGUGCAUGCGACUUAAUGUUUCAUGGCUCAGCAGGGCUUUCGUUGGAUGCUGUACAAUCGGUUUUCCACUGCCACACUGAGAUUUAUCAAAAACAGUUUGUGAUAUGGUAACAAGGGGCUUGCUGUUUCACGGUAACAAGGUCAGGCAUCCCAGUGGUGCAUAACCGCUGUUGGUGUAUUCUCCCUCACAUGAUUGCAAUUGUAAGAGGACAUCAAAUGAGGUUGACUCUGUUGCCAUUUUCCACAACUUGGAGGGAAACUCUAAAGAAGUAGGGAGGCUGUUGUAUGUGCUGACUGAUUCUCAAAUGACUUAAAACCUUGUGUGAUCAGGGUUCUUAGCCAUGUGGAGAGACUCAUGGAGAGCAAUCCCAUUGCUUCAGGUCUUCAACCUCAACGGCAAUGGACACAUGACUGGGACUGAGGAGAGGCAGUGCCAGGAAGAGAAAACCUUCUCACCACAGGUCAUAAGCACAUGAGGGGGAAUGCCCAAGAAAGGAUUUAGACUGCUUCAGAGCACCUCCAGACUGUCGAUAUUUUGCAGGAGGAAUUCAAGCAUUUCUUAAAGGAAAUCUAGAUGUGUGCAAUUAAAAUAGAGUAAAGUGCUCCAUCACCAUAGUUUGAAAAAUCCACAUGGAGAAAGAAACAGAAUUUCUGUAGUCUGGAAAGAGAAAUGCAUUGUGAAUUGCGGAAUGAAUGAAUGAUGGGAAGACAUAGUAAUCCCACCCCUUCAAGUAAAUCAGGAUGACAGCUUAUCAUCCUGCAACCUCCCUAUUAUCCUACUAUCCUACAACCUCCCCACUUUGUGCAAGCAAAUCAGGAUGAAUGCUCAAUAUAUAGGUUGACUAGAAGAGCUCUCAUAUCAUUCAGUGCAUGUCAAAAUAUUCUGGAAGGGGAGGUGUGAGGUAAAAUCAUACCGUGCCAUUUUCUGAGUCCUUCCAAAGUUUUUGUACCUAUCACCAGUAUUAAAAAAUAAAAAUACCAACACACUAUUAAACACAUUUCAAGCUUUUGAGAUAAGUUGUUCCUCUUUUAGGAGGUGUGUUUGUGUAUAUAUGGAAAUAGUAGAUAUGUGUGUAUGUGUGUAUGUGUGUGCCUGUUCUGUAGACAGCAAAUGAUACCUACUACCACUAGAAGUAGCCUAAUAGCAAAGAGUAGCAAAAUUAAACCAUACCAUUGUGCAUCAACUGGGAUUUCUUGUGUUAAAUAAAACUUCUGCUGAAGAGAGAAUUUAGAUAGGGGGGAAAAACAUCUCCAGCUGUCUGCAAGAAUUUACAGACUGAUGCAUUUUCAGACUCUGGAGAGCGAACUAUUUGUUGCUCUUUCCUUUUUCUGUUUUUACAAAAAGGUGGAAAGCCAAAUGUUGUGCUCAGCAAGACCAGAAGCAGUAGAGGUCAUGUUCUUAAGCCAGAUAGCAUUUUCAAUUCUGCUGAGUGCCAACGUUUUCCUUCUGCUCAAUAAAAAUAAUAAUAAAGUGG